rnacentral:tRNA from 1 species
GCCCAGGUGGUCUAAUGGUAAGGCGCUCGUAAGUACCUCCAGACCUUCAUCGGGGUGAGCUACAUUGGGUUAGCAAUAACCUUGAAAGGAGGGUUGAGACUCGGUUCGAUUCCUGGCCUGGGCA